rnacentral:rRNA from 1 species
AGAGUUUGAUCAUGGCUCAGGAUGAACGCUAGCGGCAGGCUUAAUACACGCAAGUCAAGGGGGUAGCAAUACAACCGGCGCACGGGUGAGUAACGCGUACACAACAUACCAUAUACUGGAGUAUAGCUUUGGGAAACUGAAGGUAAUCCUCCAUAACAUUGCGAGAGGGCAUCUGAUUGCAAUUAAAGUUUCGGCGGUAUAUGAUUGGUGUGCGUUUGAUUAGCUAGUUGGUAGGGUAACGGCCUACCAAGGCGACGAUCAAUAGCUGGCGUGAGAGCGCGACCAGCCACACUGGAACUGAGACACGGUCCAGACUCCUACGGGAGGCAGCAGUAGGGAAUAUUGGACAAUGGAGGAAACUCUGAUCCAGCCAUGCCGCGUGAUAGAUGAAGGCCCUCUGGGUUGUAAAUAUCUUUUAUCUGGGAAGAAACACUCCUAUUCUUAGGAACUUGACGGUACCAGAGGAAUAAGCACCGGCUAACUCCGUG